rnacentral:lncRNA from 1 species
CACUGAGGCACGUCAAGGGAGCUGCACAGGGCCCCACUGCUGGAGAGUGAAGUGUUUGCCUGGAAGAUGCCCCCAGGGGAUCAAAGCUGACAUGCUCAGGGUGUGACGGUGUCUGGAGGGACGCAGGUAGAGCUGCUCUGCAUGAAACGAGACCAACUUCCUCCUGAGAAAUGGGGGACAAAGGCGAGAGCAGAGCUGGCGAGGUGCCUCGACUCCAGCCACACCCCGCGUGCUCACUUCCUCUUGAUACCGCAUCAUCUCUGGGGAGCUGGCACAGCGAGCGAGCAUCUCCCAUAUUCACUUCAAAACGGGAAGUCAAGACCCAGGCCCACCUCCAGCCGUCUCCAGCUUCCUCUGUGCCCUUCCACUU